UCUACAUGGACGGGAAGGGAAAAACGCUCAUCUCCAGAAACCUCCCACCUCUGGCACCCAUAAGUCUGAAGUUGCAUUUACGGUACCUUGAUUGAGUCCUGGGCAGACGACAGCCCCCGACACCAUGGCCUGGCUGCUCCCUCCUCAGGGGAGGAAGGAGAGAUCCAGUAUGCAUCCCUCAGCUUCCAUAAGGUGGGGCCUCAGGACCUGUGGGGACAAGAGGCCACCAACAAUGAGUAUUCGGAGAUCAAGAUCCCCAAGUGAGAAACUGCAGAGACUUGGGCUUGUUUGAGGGUUCGCAACCCCUCCAGUAAAGGAGUCCGAGGCCGAUUCCUGUAGAAUUAACAGCCCUCGAAGCUGUGCAACAGGAAAUCAGAGCUUAUUCCUCCUGUCUAACUGAAAAUGCAUGCCUGCCUUUCCCCAUCUAAUCAGUCCACACUCCCCGCCCCAGCCUCUGGUACCCAUGAUUCUCCUCUCUACUUCUCUGAGGAUGUCUAUUUUAGAUUCCAAAUAUAAUGAGAUCGUAAUGUG